rnacentral:snRNA from 1 species
AUACUUACCCGGUUUCCCAGGUUGAGGAUCAUCCAUAGCAUGCUGGGUGUGCUGACUCCCACAGCUUCUCUAAUGCAGAAACUGGAGUGCAUCAUUUGUGGUAGUGGGGGACUGUAUCUGUGCAGCCUAUG